rnacentral:rRNA from 1 species
GAUGAACGCUGGCGGCGUGCCUAAUACAUGCAAGUCGAGCGAACGGACGAGAAGCUUGCUUCUCUGAUGUUAGCGGCGGACGGGUGAGUAACACGUGGAUAACCUACCUAUAAGACUGGGAUAACUUCGGGAAACCGUAGCUAAUACCGGAUAAUAUUUUGAACCGCAUGGUUCAAAAGUGAAAGACGGUCUUGCUGUCACUUAUAGAUGGAUCCGCGCUGCAUUAGCUAGUUGGUAAGGUAACGGCUUACCAAGGCAACGAUGCAUAGCCGACCUGAGAGGGUGAUCGGCCACACUGGAACUGAGACACGGUCCAGACUCCUACGGGAGGCAGCAGUAGGGAAUCUUCCGCAAUGGGCGAAAGCCUAACGGAGCAACGCCGCGUGAGUGAUGAAGGUCUUCGGAUCGUAAAACUCUGUUAUUAGGGAAGAACAUAUGUGUAAGUAACUGUGAACAUCUUGACGGUACCUAAUCAGAAAGCCACGGCUAACUACGUG